rnacentral:lncRNA from 1 species
AGUUUGGGUCCUUCAUCCUGCAGCAAACACACCACCUUCCCACUACUUAGUUCCUUCAAGGCCAGGUCGUUGCUGUUAACUUGUCUUCUCUCAGUGAGCAAAAUCUUACCUUCUACUUGACAAAGAAAAUCAAGACUAUCCAUCCUGAAAUUUUUCAUCAUUAUUCCCCACCUAAACACAUCUCAAAUCUUCACUCAUCCUUUUCUCCUUGGAAGAGGGAUGGAUCCCUUCUCUUUGAAAAGAUUCUCCACUUUAAGGAAAGCUUCCAGACCAAUCAUGUUUUAAUUCUUCUCCAGGUGACAGAUAUUCUUGUUGAUUCUCCAGAUUUUGUCUUUCAUGGCAAAGAAGUCUCCUUACACUGUAAGUUCAUUCAUCUCUAACUUUUCAGACCUUAGGAAUACUCUGCUCCUGUAGCCCAAUCUUCUGAUCGACUGGUUCUUCUUAAAUUUACAUUUUAUGGAAAAUGAAUGUUCAAGUUAACCAUGACUUCAUUUCUCUACAGGCCCCACUCCCUGACACUUUGGAACCCACAUUUCCUUUUCAG